rnacentral:sRNA from 1 species
GGGUUGAGGGGAACUCGGGGUGUGGGUUUGGUCCAUGGCUUACUUUCUCUGGUCUCUCUUGCGUUCGUAGACUCCACUCCACUUGGCUGUGAUCACCAACCAGCCAGAAAUUGCUGAGGCACUUCUGGGAGCUGGCUGUGAUCCUGAGCUCCGAGACUUUCGAGGAAAUACCCCCCUACACCUUGCCUGUGAGCAGGGCUGCCUGGCCAGCGUGGGAGUCCUGACUCAGUCCUGCACCACCCCGCACCUCCACUCCAUCCUGAAGGCUACCAACUACAAUGGCCACACGUGUCUACACUUAGCCUCUAUCCAUGGCUACCUGGGCAUCGUGGAGCUUUUGGUGUCCUUGGGUGCUGAUGUCAAUGCUCAGGAGCCCUGUAA